AAGCCUUUCGCGCUAUAGCCUUUGCAUAUUUCAGUUUCAGAGUCCGUAGUGUUGAGUUUGUGUCCUGGUCGAGGUCUUGUUGCUUGUUAGGUCGUGUUAGAGUCUAGUUCAUGUGUUUUUCCCCACCAUUUCCAUCAAUUUAUAGCGACCGCCCCAAAUUUUUCCCACUUCUCGACCGUUUUGUCCUCUAAUUCGGAGUCGAUUCUUCAAUAAGGCAUAAUUUUCACAUACGAACUCUGAUUUUGACGUUCCAUAUAUCAAAAUCGAUCAAAAAAAUUUGGAUCCAUCUAUCCCUAUAAACAAGUUUCGCAAACUAAGUUUUCUCAAUUUCGCCCCUAAAGUUUGAGUUUUCACCUUCCGAAUUUUUUUCACAUCUUUUGCAAUCUUCAGAAAAUUCCAUAGGCCACGUCUUUUAAUUGUUUAAGCUCAAAUUUUCUAUGGUUAAUUCUUUAGUGCUUCUAAGUAAAAUAAAAAUAUCAAAAAAAUAAAAGUCGAAAUUUCGCAAAAAAACAACGACAACACAAAAAAAGAGAGAAAAGAGAGGGACAAUAUAGGAACAAUAUCUAGAGCAAAGUGAGUUGUGUUAGCGUGUGCUGUUUUGUGCCUUGUUUCUCUUGCUCUUGCUAUCCAUCAUACUUGUUUCUCCACCUUGUUGAUCAUCAUACACCUGUUACUUGGAAUAUAUAAACAAGCGCUAGGGACUAUAAUUAAGUACUACCAUCUUUUUCUGAUUUGUGUUCUAUAUAUAUAUUUGUCUAUUUGUGUGCCUUCCA
rnacentral:lncRNA from 1 species